GGGCAUGAAAUGGCUUUGGACCUUGACCGUGCUUUUCUUGCUUAAGAAGAUCUUGCAGGGACCUCUUUAGGUAAAGUUUAAGUGUUCAUAUCCUUACAACGUGGCAAGAACACCCUCACUAGAGUGAGAGAAACCCCCAUCAGCUACCCUCGAGGCCUCAAAUCAAGCUUGUUUCAUCAGCGACAGUCAGCAGAGCAUAACACAAAUUUUAAUUUGAUGUCUUUUAAGCUUAAAAACACAGGUAAACAUGAACAAAAGUUGAUUAGCUGAUUGACGAAGCCUUUUCUUGAAUGAUUUCACUUCCCUUUCUCGGACUACUUGAAGCGCACUUCCAACUCUCAGCUUUCCUUUGAUCCCUUCCCUCACGAAUCUUACAAGCUCGGAUCUCGGUUUUCCUUUCUCUCGAGCUGCUUCUCCGAUCCCUUAUCCCUUAUUCAUGGCCUUGUUAUCUCCAAAAGUCGAUAGGCAUCAACCUAAAGAAGGAAGAGAAGAGGAUGAAGAACAAGCAAAUUGAAAGUUUAUUGUGUAGGGUUAGCAGAGAGA
rnacentral:lncRNA from 1 species